GAUGGGCACAUGGUGGAUGCCUAGGCGCAACAGGCCGAUGAAGGACGUGGCCACGCGACGAAAUGCUCUGGGGAGGCGCUGGCAGCCUGCGAUCCGGAGAUGUCCGAAUGGGGCAACCCCCCUGGGUGAUACCAGGGACCUGCGUUCGCGCAGGAGGGAACCGGGGGAACUGAAACAUCUCAUGUACCCCGAGGAACAGAUAGGAUUCCCGUAGUAGCGGCGAGCGAACCGGGAAGAGCCCAAACCACACCAGCGUAUGAGGCUACCGCCGCUGCUGGGGUGGGGUUGAACGAGAUGGUUGGACGGGGUGGUAGACCCGUCGUGGCAAGCCUGUGUGAAGCCGAACGCCGCUGGAACGGGCGACCGAAGAGGGUGAGAGUCCCGUAGGGGCAAGCACAGAGACGCCAUGGACCAUGAUCGUGAGUACCGCCGGACACGCGAAAUCCGGUGGGAAGCAGGGUCGCCCACGACCCAAGGCUAAAUACCUGAUGCGACCGAUAGUGAACCAGUACCGU
rnacentral:rRNA from 14 species